rnacentral:rRNA from 1 species
UCGUGAGGCGGAGCUAAUCCCUUAAAGCCAUUNUCAGUUCGGAUUGUAGGCUGAAACUCGCCCACAUGAAGCUGGAGUUACUAGUAAUCGCAGAUCAGAAUGCUGCGGUGAAUGCGUUCCCGGGUCUUGUACACACCGCCCGUCACACCACGGAAGUUGGGGGCGCCCGAAGCCACUUAGCUAACCCUUUUGGGAAGCGAGUGUCGAAGGUGAAAUCAAUAACUGGGGUGAAGUCGUAACAAGGUACC